rnacentral:rRNA from 1 species
CCUACGGGGGGCAGCAGUGAGGAAUAUUGGUCAAUGGACGAGAGUCUGAACCAGCCAAGUAGCGUGAAGGAUGACUGCCCUAUGGGUUGUAAACUUCUUUUAUAUGGGAAUAAAACGUUCCACGUGUGGGAUUUUGUAUGUACCAUAUGAAUAAGGAUCGGCUAACUCCGGGCCAGCAGCCGCGGUAAUACGGAGGAUCCGAGCGUUAUCCGGAUUUAUUGGGUUUAAAGGGAGCGUAGGUGGAUUGUUAAGUCAGUUGUGAAAGUUUGCGGCUCAACCGUAAAAUUGCAGUUGAAACUGGCAGUCUUGAGUACAGUAGAGGUGGGCGGAAUUCGUGGUGUAGCGGUGAAAUGCUUAGAUAUCACGAAGAACUCCGAUUGCGAAGGCAGUUCACUGGACUGCAACUGACACUGAGGCUCGAAAGUGUGGGUAUCAAACAGGAUUAGAUACCCGUGUAGUC